UACGAAGGGGGCUAGCGUUGUUCGGAUUUACUGGGCGUAAAGCGCACGUAGGCGGAUUGGUCAGUUAGGGGUGAAAUCCUGGAGCUCAACUCCAGAACUGCCUUUAAUACUGCCAGUCUCGAGUCCGGAAGAGGUAAGUGGAACUCCUAGUGUAGAGGUGGAAUUCGUAGAUAUUAGGAAGAACACCAGUGGCGAAGGCGGCUCACUGGUCCGGAACUGACGCUGAGGUGCGAAAGCGUGGGGAGCAAACAGG
rnacentral:rRNA from 1 species